UAAAGCACAUACAACACAGUAAAAAUGUUCCCUUCAUAACCACAAAAAAACGAAAUCUACCCAAGAUCACAACUUCAAAAGUGUAGGUAUUCAGCAGUAGUGACGUAACACAACUUCGUUGAAUCAAACCUCAAGGAUCCAAUAGAAAGCUAAGUUUACAUUUAAAAAACAGCCCUUUCUUUCAAAUUGAAAUGAGCGUUUAUAGAAAUCUAAUCGCAGCUCAAUAACCCAAAAAGAAGCAUUCACAGGAGUGAUUAGUUUGAUAGAGAGUUCACAUGAGCUUGAUUUGGACUAACCUCUAACAAACUGUGGUGGUGCCUCUGAUAGUAUACGAGUCGAUAUCUUCCUUGCCAAGGUUGCCCUUCGCAGAAGAGGGGUUUUCGCCAUGAAAUUCAGGGUUUUGUUUGGUUUCUCUUGUUUUUUUUCGAUUCUGUUACUCUAAAAUUCUGCCAGAGUGAAAGAGCUUUACGACCUCUGCAAGGAGACUUUCACUAGCAAAGCUCCUUCUCCUGCUUCCAUUGCUCUCCAAAAGCUAUGCUUGGUGUUGGAUGAAAGAGAGACCAAAGACUGAACCUGAGAAGGAAAAUUUGCCAGAGCUUGUUACUUUGGUUCAUACAUUGUCAUCACGAAGGAGGAGGAUUAUUGCAAGCCAAAUCCAUAUAACCGAUAGAAGGGAAGUGGAGGAACAAUUCAGUUUGAUGUUGCAACUGGUUCUUGUUAGUGAUUUCGUUGCAUGACCAUCCAGAGAUGACUGUGUUUAGCAAAAUCCUCUAUGGAUCACUUCAUGUUAAAGCUUACGAUUGGGUCGAGCCUCCAUGUAUUAUCUCACAAGACAAAGAGCAUGGUACUUGGAUUUGCACUCCACAGAUUUCGCUGUUGUUGGCGUAAAUGUUUGGAUCAUUCAAUCUGUCUAGCUGAG